rnacentral:rRNA from 1 species
UACAGAGGGUGCAAGCGUUAAUCGGAAUUACUGGGCGUAAAGCGCACGUAGGUGGUUUGGAAAGUUGGAUGUGAAAGCCCUGGGCUUAACCUGGGAACUGCAUUCAAUACUACCAAGCUAGAGUAGAGUAGAGGGAAGUGGAAUUUCCGGUGUAGCGGUGAAAUGCGUAGAUAUCGGAAGGAACACCAGUGGCGAAGGCGGCUUCCUGGACUCAUACUGACACUGAGGUGCGAAAGCGUGGGGAGCAAACAGG